GUACUCUCUUCAGCAGUACAUGUACUAAUAUUGGAACAAUACAGAGAAGAUUAGCAUGGCCCCUGUGCAAGGGUGACACGCAAAUUUGUUAAAUGUUCUGUAUUAAA